rnacentral:rRNA from 1 species
UACGUAGGGUGCAGGCGUUAAUCGGAAUUACUGGGCGUAAAGCGUGCGCAGGCGGUUUGCUAAGACAGGUGUGAAAUCCCCGGGCUUAACCUGGGUACUGCGCUUGUAACUGGCAAGCUAGAGUGUGGCAGAGGGGGGUGGAAUUCCACGUGUAGCAGUGAAAUGCGUAGAUAUGCGGAGGAACACCGAUGGCGAAGGCAAUCCCCUGGGCCUGCACUGACGCUCAUGCACGAAAGCGUGGGGAGCAAACAGG